rnacentral:misc_RNA from 1 species
UGAUUAAGAUAACUCGAGCUGGUAUAAACUUAUCUAAGAAUAACGGAAGCUAAACCAGUAAUUGUUUUUAUACAGUUGCGGGGGAUCAUUUAGGAGCGCUGGUCGCCUCCCUCCGUAGUUGAUGCUGACCCAGGCCCCAGCAGACGUUGUUGGUCCUGGCAUCAUAUUUAGAAUUUUGACGAAGUGCAACGACUCGUAUUAACACGACACAUCAACAAGAAGUUACAUCAACAUAAUUUAUAGAGCAGCAGCGGAGAACCCUGUGUCUAGACUGAGCUUCAUCUAGUGUGAAUAAUUGACCAAUCGUCAGAGAUGUAUGAGAGAAAUAACAAGGAUUUUGGCAAGACUUCGUCAGACCUUUGGUACAGUGAUCAACGAUAUGCUCAGUUCUGGCAGCACUACAAUACUAUGAUGAUGACAGCUCACCAUGAUGCAAUUGUCAAAGCAAGAUAUGUUGCAGCUCAUACAAAGGCUGCUUUAUCUAACCUGCAUGGAUCAAUGUAUCUACAUCAUAACAACCAUCACAGUAAAUAUUCAGACAACUUAAUGCAUGGACACGAACGUGCCACUUCACAUUCCGGUAGAAGCUUAGCAGAAAUUGCAAGAUCCAAUAGAAACAGGCAGAAGAGGAAAAGGAAAAUGAGAAACAGAAGACUUCGAGAAUGGUCAUGCAACAGUAAUCAGGGAGUUCUGAGUGAUACAGAGAUAUUACACUCACAAAUGAGCCAAGGGAUGCAUAUUAAAGAUGCUGAUGACGAGGAGGAGGAGAGUAUGGAGGUGACUGAAGACUUCUUGAAAUUUCUGGAGCAAAGUGAGAAGCAUCGAGAACAGUGGAAAGUUAGAAAAGAAAGGUUAAAAUCUGAUGGGUCUGUAACACCUUCAGAAGAACCAGUUGCUGAGACAGAGCCCAAGGCUCCACCUCUCUCCACGGUUCGCCGAUGCACUCUGCCUUAAUGGUUUGUGGUUCUCCGCUGAUCUUCGCGAAUGGGAUUUCUUCGCCUUGUACCAUCUCUUCUGUGUUGGUGUCAAGUGGAGCAUCCAGAUGUUGUACGGGGUCGUGAGAUGCAACAGUUAUAUGGACCUGCAUCUGCACGCAUACAUGCCAUGGAAACAGCCCUCCAGCUUUCAUUUGAUCGUUUCUCCACAUUACAUGAACCACAGUUCUGGCCU